GUGUCAGCCGCCGCGGUAAUACGGAGGGGGCUAGCGUUGUUCGGAAUUACUGGGCGUAAAGCGCACGUAGGCGGAUUGGUAAGUCGGGGGUGAAAUCCCGGGGCUCAACCCCGGAACUGCCUCCGAAACUUCCAGUCUGGAGUCCGGGAGAGGCGAGUGGAAUUCCGAGUGUAGAGGUGAAAUUCGUAGAUAUUCGGAGGAACACCAGUGGCGAAGGCGGCUCGCUGGUCCGGUACUGACGCUGAAACGCGAAAGCUAGGGGAGCGAACGGGAUUAGAAACCCCCGUAGUCC
rnacentral:rRNA from 1 species